rnacentral:rRNA from 1 species
UACGGGGGGGGCAAGCGUUGUUCGGAAUUACUGGGCGUAAAGGGCUCGUAGGUGGCCAACUAAGUCAGACGUGAAAUCCCUCGGCUUAACCGGGGAACUGCGUCUGAUACUGGAUGGCUUGAGAUCGGGAGAGGGAUGCGGAAUUCCAGGUGUAGCGGUGAAAUGCGUAGAUAUCUGGAGGAACACCGGUGGCGAAGGCGGCAUCCUGGACCGACACUGACGCUGAGGAGCGAAAGCCAGGGGAGCAAACGGG